ACUACUUGUCAGGCACUGGCCAAGACACUGAGGGUAUGGAGCUUGUUACACAGAUCCACGCGUGGGUUAUCGACAUUCUCUUCUACCGUUCCCGGGCUUUGCUCUGGAGAAGAGAGGCCUCUGCUGAGAUCCAGUGGUAUCUGACCAGUGUGUGGUGGUGGAGACGCAGCGGGACUCUGGGUGGUGGUGGUGGGACUGCUGGAAGUUGUCAGGUCCAAUGCUCCUAUCUUUGAGUUCAAGGGAGAAGUCAAAGACAGCUUUCUGGCCCUCACUGGGGAAGAUGUUCUGGACACAGCCAGUGGUGGCGGGGAAGAGAAUUUGCGACACAGACGUGGGGAUUUGCCAUCCACCAAAUGUUCACCUCUGUUGUUCUGGCUGGUAGCAAAAAACAAUUCCAAUGACCUAAAAAUGAGAGCAAAAGUGGCUAAGAGAUUGUAGCCAAGUGAAAUGAAUUCCCAGAUGUCAUUCAAGAACAUGUUCCCUUCAUUUAUAGGUCACAAUCUCAUUGCACUUCUAUUGCUGGACUUCCGUUAAUCUAAAUGCUACAUGUAUACC
ensembl:lncRNA novel transcript